UGGGGUAAGGAUAGGAGGGUCA
rnacentral:miRNA from 1 species